UUACGGGAGGCAGCAGUGGGGAAUAUUGCACAAUGGGCGCAAGCCUGAUGCAGCGACGCCGCGUGCGGGAUGGAGGCCUUCGGGUUGUAAACCGCUUUUGUUCAAGGGCAAGGCAGGCCGUUGGGUCUGUUGAGUGGAUUGUUCGAAUAAGCACCGGCUAACUACGUGCCAGCAGCCGCGGUAAUACGUAGGGUGCAAGCGUUAUCCGGAAUUAUUGGGCGUAAAGGGCUCGUAGGCGGUUCGUCGCGUCCGGUGUGAAAGUCCAUCGCUUAACGGUGGAUCUGCGCCGGGUACGGGCGGGCUGGAGUGCGGUAGGGGAGACUGGAAUUCCCGGUGUAACGGUGGAAUGUGUAGAUAUCGGGAAGAACACCAAUGGCGAAGGCAGGUCUCUGGGCCGUUACUGACGCUGAGGAGCGAAAGCGUGGGGAGCGAACAGGAUUAGAUACCCCGGUAGA
rnacentral:rRNA from 1 species